rnacentral:rRNA from 1 species
UACGAAGGGGGCUAGCGUUGUUCGGAAUUACUGGGCGUAAAGCGCACGUAGGCGGAUUGCUAAGUCAGGGGUGAAAUCCUGGAGCUCAACUCCAGAACUGCCUUCGAUACUGAGAGUCUCGAGUCCGGGAGAGGUGAGUGGAACUGCGAGUGUAGAGGUGAAAUUCGUAGAUAUUCGCAAGAACACCAGUGGCGAAAGGCGGCUCACUGGCCCGGUACUGACGCUGAGGUGCGAAAGCGUGGGGAGCAAACAGG